UAUUAGGUAUUUUAUUUUGGUUUUAUUAGCUAGCAUUUAUUUACUUUUUUUUUAUUUCUUUCAUAUUUAGGAGACCCAAGUAGGAGGACCUGAAUAUCGACCGCCGACGAGAUGUCGACAUCGCUCGACAUAGACAAACACACGACGAUCGAUGCAACAUUUUCACAUCGAUCGAUAUCUAAUCCGGUCAGAUGUAUCUUCCUUACUUGUUACAUUUCGUACUUAUGAAUUAUUCCAUCAUAACUCCGACUGAGUUACACUGGGACAGUGUAGUUUAAGUCUGGGGGGAGAUUUACUGAUAUAAUUUAUUUUAUAAUUAUAUAAAAGGAAUUUUAAAAAUUAUGCUUAACUAUUGAAAAUGGGACUAUGAUCAUAUAUUGAUUUAAACUUGAAUAUCUAAC
rnacentral:lncRNA from 1 species